GCCCCUUGCACCCCUUUGGGGUAUCCCUCAGCCAAACCCCCUCCUCUCCAGGCACCUGCCCUGGGAAGCCGGGUUCCCGUGUCCGCAGCACGCCGCUGGCGAUGCAGCGUGACUCAGGGCUCCGUCACCGUGGGCUUCCUGCAAGAAGCUCUGGUCCUCUCUUGAUCGCUCAGCGUGUUCCUGCCGUGCGCGGCGUGGGGAUCCUGGCUGCCUGUGGUCUGGCGUGUCUGACCUAGGCGCUCGGCACCUGCUGGGUGUGCUGAGCAGACCCUGGACUAACAGCUGAGGUGGUGAAAGCGCUGUUCGGGUCAAGUUUUCCUUGCUAGGCUGACCGUCGGCUGCAGCCCAAGCCCUGCUCCCCCGGACUCCCUCCCUCGGCACGGGGCUGGAGGGGGAUGGAGCAGCUCGCCGUGCAGCAUCUUGCCAAAGGGGCCCUCGUUUGCCUAGGAGCAGGGUCUCUAAAUCCUCCUGCAAUGCAAAUACAAAAUAAACCAAAAUCCUGCUCUACGGGGUAGUGGACGCUGCCCCAACUGCUGUGA